CCCCAAACCCCCCCCUGGCAAGGGGUACCCCCAGGGGCCCCGGAAAAAGGGGGCUUUUCUGUGGUCUAAAAACCCAAGGGAAUAAGAGGGGGCAAGACUGGUGUCAGCCGCCGCGGUAACACCAGCCCCUCGAGUGGUGGGGAUGAUUAUUUGGCCUAAAGCGUCCGUAGCCGGCCUUGUAAGUCUCCCGUUAAAUCCAGCGUCUCAAGCGUUGGACUGCGGGAGAUACUGCUCGGCUAGAGAGUGGGAGAGGUAUGCGGUAUUCUGGGGGUAGGGGCGAAAUCCUUUGAUCCCCGGAGGACCACCAGUGGCGAAGGCUGCACACUAGAACACGUCUGACGGUCAGGGACGAAAGCUGGGGUAGCGAACCGGAUUAGAUACCCGGGUAGUCCCAGCUGUAAACGAUGCAUGCUAGGUGUUGGGUCGGCCAUGAGCCGCCUCAGUGCCGCAGGGAAGCCGUUAAGCAUGCCGCCUGGGGAGUACGGCCGCAAGGCUGAAACUUAAAGGAAUUGGCGGGGGA
rnacentral:rRNA from 1 species